rnacentral:rRNA from 1 species
UACUGGCAUUCCCUAGUAGCGGCGAGCGAAGCGGGAAGAGCUCAAAUUUAUAAUCUGGCACCUUCGGUGUCCGAGUUGUAAUCUCUAGAAAUGUUUUCCGCGUUGGACCGCACACAAGUCUGUUGGAAUACAGCGGCAUAGUGGUGAGACCCCCGUAUAUGGUGCGGACGCCCAGCGCUUUGUGAUACAUUUUCGAAGAGUCGAGUUGUUUGGGAAUGCAGCUCAAAUUGGGUGGUAAAUUCCAUCUAAAGCUAAAUAUUGGCGAGAGACCGAUAGCGAACAAGUACCGUGAGGGAAAGAUGAAAAGCACUUUGGAAAGAGAGUUAACAGUACGUGAAAUUGUUGGAAGGGAAACGCUUGAAGUCAGACUUGCUUGCCGAGCAAUCGGUUUGCAGGCCAGCAUCAGUUUUCCGGGAUGGAUAAUGGUAGAGAGAAGGUAGCAGUUUCGGCUGUGUUAUAGCUCUCUGCUGGAUACAUCUUGGGGGACUGAGGAACGCAGUGUGCCUUUGGCGGGGGUUUCGACCUCUUCACACUUAGGAUGCUGGUGGAAUGGCUUUAAACGACCCGUCUUGAACCACCCGGACCCAAA